UACGGAGGGGGCUAGCGUUGUUCGGAAUUACUGGGCGUAAAGCGCGCGUAGGCGGACCUGCAAGUCGGGGGUGAAAGCCCGAGGCUCAACCUCGGAACUGCCUUCGAUACUGCGGGUCUCGAGUCCGGGAGAGGGAUGUGGAAUUCCAGGUGUAGCGGUGAAAUGCGUAGAUAUCUGGAGGAACACCGGUGGCGAAGGCGACAUCCUGGACCGGUAUUGACGCUGAGGCGCGAAAGCCAGGGGAGCAAACGGG
rnacentral:rRNA from 1 species